UACGAAGGGUGCUAGCGUUGUUCGGAAUCCCUGGGCGUAAAGCGCGCGGAGGCGGCUAUUCAAGUCAGGGGUGAGAGCCCGGGGCUCAACCCCGGAAUUGCCUUUGAAACUGUUUAGCUAGAGUGUCGGAGGGGAUAGCGGAAUUGCUAAUGUGGAGGUGAAAUUCGUAGAUAUUAGCAGGAACACCGGUGGCGAAGGCGGCUAUCUGGACGACAACUGACGCUGAGGCGCGAAAGCGUGGGGAGCGAACAGG
rnacentral:rRNA from 1 species